rnacentral:rRNA from 1 species
CUUCAACUGAAGAGUUUGAUCAUGGCUCAGAUUGAACGCUGGCGGCAGGCCUAACACAUGCAAGUCGAGCGCG